rnacentral:rRNA from 1 species
CGUUCGUGGAGUGAUUUGUUUGGUUGAUUCCGUGAACGAACGAGAUCUCAGCUCCUAAAUAGGGGACGGAUCGCUUACGCCCAGGUUGGAGGUCCUUCCGGGCUAUCCUCUUGGGUAGAUGCCGUCUGCCUUCUUAGGAGAACAUCGUGCGUUCUGCAGCACGAUGGAGCGAGCCAAUAGCAGG